UACGUAGGGUGCAAGCGUUGUCCGGAAUUAUUGGGCGUAAAGAGCUCGUAGGCGGUCUGUUGCGUCUGCUGUGAAAACUCAGGGCUUAACCCUGAGCUUGCAGUGGGUACGGGCAGACUAGAGUGCGGUAGGGGAGACUGGAAUUCCUGGUGUAGCGGUGAAAUGCGCAGAUAUCAGGAGGAACACCGGUGGCGAAGGCGGGUCUCUGGGCCGAGACUGACGCUGAGGAGCGAAAGCGUGGGGAGCGAACAGG
rnacentral:rRNA from 1 species